CUUGCUCCUUGGUGCUCUUCUGAACCAUCCCUUCCCCUAGAGCAGGAAUGGGAUCUGUGCUCAGCUCCCCAAGGGCUGCAAACAUCAGAGGGAGCUGCAGGCUGCUGCUCGGCCCCGUGUGCGGCUGCAAGGGUGGACACCGCGUGGAGCAAGCAGCACCGGCCCUUGGCCACCGUGCAGGCGGCUAAUUAGAGCCCUGCGUGUGAUGAAAUAAAUGAAAAUGAGUCAUUUUGUGGUGGUGGCCUGAUGGAAAGAAGCCCAGGAGGGAAGGGAUCGUAUGGACAGUGCAGGAAUGUGCUCGGGGUGCUGUCACACCCAGGCAGGGGUGCAGAAAGGACGGGGAGAAGCGGCUGCCCGUCCCUGGAGCGAAGCAGAAGUGAUCAGCAGUGUUAUUAGACAAAGAGGCGCCGUCAGAAACAGUGCCAUCUGGGAGGCUUCGACUUCCCCGAAAUAAAGCUGAGAACAAACGCUCCUAAAAACGGCACCGUGCUGCUAUUUCUAGACCUGAUCGCCACCAGAUUGCUUUACCAAUCAGGCGCUCGCAGCCGGCUCAGCACAACGAGCAGCCCGAGCACAGCCACGCUGCAGGAAGCAGAGGACAUCCUACGUUGCUCUGUGCUGUGGAGGUGCAUUCCAAGCAGAAGAUGGGAACAGAGACCCACAGAAGCGUCACCCAGGUGCCACCACCGUGAGCUCCUAUUUUGGGCUGAUGCUGCAGCACCCAGCGGCGCGGGGCACUUUGGCUCAGCACAGGGCUAUUUUCAGAGCUGCCCUUCUCUGCACGUGCUCUGAGCCAGUGUCCAACCAUGGGGCACUUUCUAGGGGCGGUGGCGAGGAAGGGGAUCCUGGCUGGGACAGCAGAGGUGACACCAGAGCUGCUGGGACCGAGGGGACACCCCAGGCCCUUGUCCUCAGCCCCACAGAGCUCAGCUCUGCCCCAUAGCUUCACCACUGCCCCAGCCCAAACCUGGCUCUGAGCUGAGCGUCGGCACCCAGGUGCUGUUCUGUCUGUCCCCAGCACAGGGGCAUGACUGGAAAAGCACCUUACUGUGCCAGAACACACCUUAAAAAAAAUCACUUUAUACUUCAGAGAACUUAAAUAAGGGUUAAUGCAGCACAGCAGUGCUUUUGCAGCCCCCUCCCCCUGUACUCCCCAUCUCCACAUGCC
ensembl:lncRNA